rnacentral:rRNA from 1 species
UGGGGAAUACCCUAUAGAUUACAGAUGCUGGAAUGCCCUGUAAUCCAAAGUUCCGACGCCCUAGGAUGGAUCUGCGGCCGAUUAGGUUGUUGUUGGGGUAAUGGCCCAACAAGCCCGUAAUCGGUACGGGUUGUGGGAGCAAGAGCCCGGAGUUGGAUUCUGAGACACGAAUCCAGGCCCUACGGGGCGCAGCAGGCGCGAAAACUUUACAAUGCGGGCAACCGUGAUAAGGGAACCUCGAGUGCCUGUAAAUGCAGGCUGUUCAGGUGCCUAAAACACACCUGAAGAAAGGGCCGGGCAAGACCGGUGCCAGCCGCCGCGGUAAUACCGGCGGCUCGAGUGGUGGCCGCUUUUAUUGGGCUUAAAGCGUUCGUAGCUGGGUUGUUAAGUCUCUUGGGAAAUCUGGCGGCUUAACCGUCAGGCGUCUAAGGGAUACUGGCAAUCUUGGAACCGGGAGAGGUGAGGGGUACUUCGGGGGUAGGAGUGAAAUCCUGUAAUCCUCGAGGGACCACCUGUGGCGAAGGCGCCUCACCAGAACGGCUUCGACAGUGAGGGACGAAAGCUGGGGGAGCAAACCGGAUUAGAUACCCGGGUAGUCCCAGCCGUAAACUAUGCGCGUUAGGUGUAUCGGUGACCACGAGUUACCGAGGUGCCGAAGGGAAACCGUGAAACGUGCCGCCUGGGAAGUACGGUCGCAAGGCUGAAACUUAAAGGAAUUGGCGGGGGAGCACCACAACAGGUGGAGCCUGCGGUUUAAUUGGACUCAACGCCCGGGAAGCUCACCGGAUAAGACAGCAAAAUGAU